GACGAACGCUGGCGGCGUGCUUAACACAUGCAAGUCGAACGGUGAACCCGCUUCGGUGGGGGAUCAGUGGCGAACGGGUGAGUAACACGUGGGCAACCUGCCCCCGGCUCUGGGAUAACUCCAAGAAAUUGGGGCUAAUACCGGAUAUGACCGCUGACCGCAUGGUCUGGUGGUGGAAAGAUUUAUCGGCUGGGGAUGGGCCCGCGGCCUAUCAGCUUGUUGGUGGGGUAGUGGCCUACCAAGGCGACGACGGGUAGCCGGCCUGAGAGGGUGACCGGCCAACCUGGGACUGAGACACGGCCCAGACUCCUACGGGAGGCAGCAGUGGGGAAUAUUGCGCAAUGGGCGGAAGCCUGACGCAGCGACGCCGCGUGGGGGAUGACGGCCUUCGGGUUGUAAACCUCUUUCAGCAGGGACGAAGCGAAAGUGACGGUACCUGCAGAAGAAGCACCGGCCAACUACGUGCCAGCCGCCGCCGUAAUAC
rnacentral:rRNA from 1 species